rnacentral:tRNA from 1 species
GUCUUCUUGGCUUAGUUGGUUAAAGCGUCGGUCUCAUAAGAUUCGUUCUUGUGAUCUGUGUGGGAAACGCAACAGAGACAUCCGAAGGUCGUGAGUUCGACUCUCACAGAGGACA